CUUAGUGAAAAAUUCCGAAAACCCUAGAACAAAAAGGUAUCGAGAGCAUCGUCGUCCCCAACAGCCGAAGAACUGAAACUAGAAGACUUUCAGUAAUCGAGAAAUGGGUAAGGUUCACGGUUCAUUGGCUCGUGCCGGUAAGGUGAGAGGUCAGACACCUAAAGUGGCUAAGCAGGACAAGAAGAAGAAGCCUCGUGGUCGUGCUCACAAACGGUUGCAACACAACCGCCGUUUCGUCACCGCCGUUGUUGGUUUUGGCAAGAAGAGAGGACCAAACUCAUCAGAGAAGUAGACAAAAAGAAAAGGUUUUUUACCCUUUCAGAUUUUGUGGGAUGUUUUUGAUGAUGAAGUAAGUUAGUAGAAAACGUAAUGAUAUCAAAGUUGUUUAGGCUUUUGGUAAUCUACAAAAUCAGUGGAUGUUGUCCCAAUGUUUCUUUUGAUUUGUGUUUCUCGUCGGAUUAUAUCAAAAGUUCCUGGAUUAUUCGCUUAUUAUAUACACUAGAUUUUGAAGGAAUUAAUAUUCAUUUUGAUGCCAAUU